UUAUUCCGAUUCUAUCUACCCAUACGAAUUAUUUGGGUUGCUAACUCAACGGUAGAGUACUCGGAUUUUAAGUACGGCUAGCAUCUUUUACACAUUUCUAUGAAGCAAAGAAUUCGUCCAAAUCUUCGGAAGAGUUUGUAAGACUGCGACUGAUCCUGAAAGGAAUGAAUGGAAAAAACAGCAUGUCGUAUCAAUGGAUAAUUUUGAGAAUAGCUUAUUCUUGUUCAAUCGCUAUAAAACCAAGUUUGAAUUCUUGGCGCGGAGCAAAAUAAAUAUAAUUAUUAAGAGUUGGGUCGAGUGAAUAAAUGGAUAGAGCCCCAGGGUUCCAAUUAUAGGGAAACAAAAAGUAACGAGCUUCGGUUCUUAAUUUGAAUGAUUUUCCGAUCUAAUUAAACAUUAAAAAGAUAUUAGUUCCUAACGCGGGGAAAGGUUUUCCCAUGAGGGGAUU
rnacentral:lncRNA from 1 species